CAAUCAAAUUCUAUUUUAAAUUCUUGAUUGAAUAAAUUGACUGUUGCACUUCCUUGAAAUUAAGUCUGUUUGCGUUGCAUAAAAUCAAAAUAUUUUUGCAAUUAAAAAUGAGACAGAUAUAUAUUUUGCCUUGACAAGAGAGAAAGCAAAGAUGUCGACUGCCAAAAAUACAAAUGAUGCUCAUGAGCGUUGUUAGUAUGAAUGGACCACGGCCUAGAUCAAGCAUGCUGGAGCAUGCCGCGUACUUCAAACAGAUGCUUCACGACACGUUUGUCGAGAAUCCAUUUCAGUUUUGAUAACCUGCAAGGGGCUUCUUCGCUGACUGCUGAACUCAUUUUGAUUAAGAAUAUACAAUUUUUUGCUGAUAAGGAUUCCAAAGAGAAUUGAAAUGUUUAAGAUUUCGGAAUAAAGAAGAGCUCAUAUAUCACACACAAAUAA